rnacentral:lncRNA from 1 species
CUUUUCUGUUAGCACCCUGAAGAGUGGUCAGGAACUUCUGAGGUAGUUAAUCCCACCCACUGGCACUUCUAGAUGUAGAAGAAACCACCUCUACAUAGCCUGAAGCCCUUUUGGUAGUUCCCAAGCAUAUGGCAUCAUGGGCAGGACUUCUACCUGCACAAAAGGAAGAAACUGGAGAGCUGCUUCAUCAGUGCCAAUCCAGUCUGUGGUUGGUCUCAUGAAAAGGCUCUUACUGAUGAAUUGGUGCAGCUACCCUCCCAGACAUGGAAGAAUACCUCAUACAAAAAAAUCCAUAGGUGACUAAUAGGUGUGGCAGACACCAGCCCUGAAGGUACAUGAAGAAUGUCCCCCAAACUGGCAUCUGAUACUGUUCCCUGCAUUGGAUCCUGUUAGCAGGGAAACAAGUGAGGCGUCUCUGACCUCCCAGUGUUCAGGACAAACCACAAAUAACCCCUGAAGGCAGGAGGAGGGACAGGACAGAAU